CUCUUCUUUUGAAAGAAGUAGGCUCUGCUCAGUGAAAUUUUAAUAGCCGCAGUAUUUUGACUGUGCUAAGGUAGCAUAAUAAUUUGUCUUAUAAUAGAAGGCUAGUAUGAAAGAGUUGACGGUGCUUAAGCUUUUUUAGGGUAAAAUUUUGAAUUUAGUAUUUAUGUUAAAAAACAUAGCUUUCUCAUGGGACGAUAAGACCCUAUAAAGCUUUGGACUAAGGAGAAAAGAAAAAAUAAAGGAAAUUUAUUUAUGUAUUUGGUUGAGCUGGGGCGGCAAUUACUUAUUCUGUAAUAAAGGUAACAAAUUAUUUGGUUUAUGUUAGAUCUUCUAAAGAUGUAGAAUAAGCUACUUUAGGGAUAACAGCAUAAUUUUUUCUUAAAGAUCUCAUAGAUUGAAAAGACUUAUGACCUCGAUGUUGAAUUGGGGGGCUUUCUUUAAGUAGAAAUAAAGAAAAAGGGGUCUGUUCGACCUUUUAUUCCUC
rnacentral:rRNA from 2 species